rnacentral:rRNA from 1 species
GACGAACGCUGGCGGCGUGCUUAACACAUGCAAGUCGAACGAAAAUACCAAGCUUGCUUGGUUGAUUAGUGGCGAACGGGUGAGUAACACGUGAGUAACCUGCCCCUUACUUUCCUGGAUAACUGCUCGAAAGGGUAGCUAAUACGGGAUAUUCUGACCAGCCUGCAUGGGUUGGUUUGGAAAGGUUGUUUUUCUGGUAAGGGAUGGGCUCGCGGCCUAUCAGCUUGUUGGUGGGGUGAUGGCCUACCAAGGCUUUGACGGGUAGCCGGCCGGAGAGGGUGGACGGUCACACUGGGACUGAGAUACGGCCCAGACUCGUACGGGAGGCAGCAGUGGGGAAUAUUGCACAAUGGGCGCAAGCCUGAUGCAGCGACGCCGCGUGAGGGAGGAAGGGAUUCGGGUUGUAAACCUCUUUCGUCAGAGAACAAGGCACUGAUUUUUUGGUGGUGUUGAGGGUACCUGGAUAAGAAGCGCCGGCUAACUACGUG